rnacentral:lncRNA from 1 species
AUAGAAUGUCCCAGCUAUGAUCUCAUUCAGGUUGGAAAUGGCUACGAAAUUCGCCGCUAUAAUUCACCCGUUUGGAUUUCCAACACCCCCAUUCAAGACCUUUCUCUUGUAGAAGCCACAAGAACCGGCUUCUUGAGGUAAUCUUAUCUUCGUUUAUAUCACAAUAUAAAUAAUAUUAUCAUGUUAUGAAUGAGAAAGUGAGUUUAAGGUCAUCACAAUACAUAUUUGUGGGUAAUGGGCUGAACAUAUCGUUGCUAUAGGUUUUGAUAAAUUUUGAUAUCGUAUUAGGAACUGGGUGUAAUUCGUCUUCAGAAAACCAAUUUGGAAGAUCCAUGUGCAAGUUAGAAUUCUUGUGUGGAAAUAUUAAAGACUUAAUCAAACUUAUCUUCUUUUAAGUUUUGGGUUUAGAGUUGUGAUUUGAUUUUUUUUUCUUACGAUGACUGAUUGGUGUAAUUUUUUUCUAGUUCAAAUGAACUCAUAUGAAGUUGUUAUAUCGAUUAAUGUUUUAAUGAAGUUGUUAUAUUGAUUUGUAUUUCGAAAUUUUAAAACAUGUUUGGACAAACUUUUCCAUGUUUACUUGUAAGGGAGAAAAAAAAAAUUAUCCGUAAGUUAACAUUAAUUUGUAAGUUAAAAAUAAAUUUUUUAAAAAUAAUAUAAAUUAAUUUAUAUGUAAACUAGUUUUAGCUUAUUGAGAAUUCCAUUUCAUUUAUCUUGUUUUUCAAUUCUAGAAGUGUUUACUUAGAAAAACUUAUCCUAAGUACCCCUAAAAUUAAGUGUGGCAUAUUUGAUUGGUAAUAUGGUUCUUCUUUAGAUUUAUUCGUACUUAUUUGUUGCAUAUUGGAUUGAAUACAGUAACUAGUUCAUGGUUUUGAGUGUGACUACGUCUUGAACCGAGUCAACCUAUAGAACUGAUGCUUGCGGGAAUAUCUUGAUUUCCUACUAGGAAGCCAAAAGUCCUAAUUACAGUGAUUGCAAUACAAAAAUGCUGUUGAUGAGGGGUUACUAUUCUGUAGCACGAUUAAUAAGACUGCAGGAAAAUUGCAUAUGUAACUGGUUGUAAUUGCAUCAGAGAUUCUAAAAUUGCAAAUUUGGAGCCACAAUUAUGAUAUCAGAUAACAAUUUAAAACCAUGAAUUUGGUCUUGUUUUUCUACACUGCGAAAGGUUUUUUCAGUUGGUGCUUAUGGCAUAGGAUACUCCCAUCCAAGGAGCUAAUUAAAUUUGAGCAACCCUCUUUUUUUUUUUUGUGCGCAGGCUAUUUGAUUAUAUUCAGGGUAAGAACAACUACAAGCAGAAAAUUGAGAUGACAGCACCUGUGAUCUCUGAAGUAUCACCCAGUGAUGGACCUUUCUGUGAGUCCUCAUUUGUUGUGAGCUUCUAUGUGCCAAAAGAGAACCAAGCAAACCCGCCUCCUGCAAAGGGCCUUCAGGUUCAAAGAUGGAAGAC